AAAACUUAAGUGAUGAUUUCAUAGUUCAGCUGACUGUAAUGAUUGUAAAAUUUAAGUCUUUCGCUCCUAUCUGAAAAAUAUG